rnacentral:rRNA from 1 species
GCUCUCCUUAUCUCUUCGCAGGCUCAUCCCCAUCCACAUCCUUCGCACAUCUCCCUCCCCACCCGCUACCAAGGAGCGGCGCUCGUCGCCAUGGCCGCCGCAGCUGGAUCCACUCGUCGCCAGGCCGCCGGCAGCUGGGAUCCAUCCACAUCCUGCUGCAAUAAGGGAGCAGCGCUCGUCCUCGUCCCCAUCCACAUCCUACCGCAUCUCCUUCCCCAUCUCCCGCCGCGGCCAAGUUGCAAUCGACCACGCCGGCGAUGAACUUGCGCUGGAACAGCUGGUGGAUGUGCUACAAGGUCGACACCUUGCCCGGAGGAAGCUGCCUCCAGCGGCGAGGAGGGGCACCAGCAGCUGCCGGCGGCGAAGACGGUGGCGACUCGAACAUGCUACAACCGGCAAAUCAUGAGCUACAACCAGCAUUUAUUCUUGCUACAACCAGUGUCUUUUUUUGCUGGAACCGGAAACAAUUUUUGCUAUCAUCUGUUUUGAUUUGCUAGAUCAGACCAAGUUUUGCUAC